rnacentral:piRNA from 1 species
UGAUACAUUUCUGCUCCAAAUGAUGCUCC